UCCGUAGGUGGAUAAUUAAGUCAGAGGUGAAAUCCUGCAGCUCAACUGUAGAAUUGCCUUUGAUACUGGUUAUCUUGAGUCAUUAUGAAGUGGUUAGAAUGUGUAGUGUAGCGGUGAAAUGCAUAGAUAUUACACAGAAUACCGAUUGCGAAGGCAGAUCACUAAUAAUGUACUGACACUGAGGGACGGAAGCGUGGGGAGCGAACAGGAUUAGAUACCCUGGUAGUCC
rnacentral:rRNA from 1 species